GAUCCUUGAAGGUUGUUUGGUCUUUUCCUCCAUUCGAAUCAAGGUUAAAGUGACCACAUGGCACUUUUUAAAGCUUUUGAAGGAUAGAAGGAUGCAAACCAUAAUGAAAAGUGUCC